UGAUUAGUUGACAAAGUUAGGAUUGAUUUAGAAAAGUUUUGGAAUUAGGUCAAAACCCUAAAAAUUGAUGAUCAAACGGUAAAACUUGUUUAGAUUGAUGAAAGAACCGUCCUUUAACCUUAGAAUAUGUUUAGGAUGAAUUCUGGGAUCAAAACCAAGCUUUGAACCAUGUUGUAUGAUGGAUUUUUGAGAAAAACCC
rnacentral:lncRNA from 1 species